CUCUUUAUUUUUAGUACAAAAUAUACAUUUGUAUCACAGGGGAGAAGACAUACAAGAUUCAAAAAACUCACUGUCAUGUAGUCAAGAAGUCAGAGUGGUGGCUGCUUUGAUAUUCUCAGGAAGCAACAAGAGUGGAGUUUCUCCAUGAUGGAAGACGAGUGGGCACAGAGGGUGAUCCAAGGUAGGGCUGUGCACUCCCCAACCAGGACACAACCCCACAAGAUUCAAACACGGUGGGCAGAGCCCAGCAAUGGUUACAGAGCUCCAGACAUGGUGAGGGAUGAGCCCAGAGUGUCCAGCCACAAGCAGCAGGAGACGGAAGGCUGAAGUCUUAUCUUUCAAACAGCUAUUUCCAGCUAUUUUCCAUGUUUUAUCCAACAUCAAGAAAGGUCUUCACUGCUCCACUAUCACUGUUCUUGUGAGAAGCAGCUCCCAAGAGGUUCGACCAGCAA
rnacentral:lncRNA from 1 species